rnacentral:rRNA from 1 species
UACGUAGGUGGCGAGCGUUGUCCGGAUUUAUUGGGCGUAAAGCGCGCGCAGGUGGUCCGUUAAGUCCUGUGUGAAAUCUCCCGGCUCACCCGGGAGGGGGCGCGGGAUACUGGGGGACUGGAGGCAGGCAGGGGCCGGUGGAAUUCCCGGUGUAGUGGUGAAAUGCGUAGAGAUGCGGAGGAACACCGAUGGCGAAGGCAGCCCCCUGGGCCAAUACUGACGCUCAGGCACGAAAGCGUGGGGAGCAAACAGG